UUGGCUUUGGGAAGUGCUUUGAAGCUUC
rnacentral:piRNA from 1 species